rnacentral:misc_RNA from 1 species
GAUGAAGAACGUAGCGAAAUGCGAUAAGUAAUGUGAAUUGCAGAAUUCAGUGAAUCAUCGAAUCUUUGAACGCAUCUUGCGCUCCCUGGUAUUCCGAGGAGCAUGCCUGUUUGAGUGUCAUCUAAAUCCUCAAACCACAUUGAUUCUUUCGGUGUGGCUUUGGAAGUGGGGGUAGUGUUUGCAGGUUUUAUCUUAAGUCUGCUCCCCUGAAAUGCAUUAGUGGUAUCUGAGCAGAAGGAACUACUACAGGUGUGAUAAUUUAUCUAUGCCUUAGUAUACUGCAUAAAACAGAUUACACUGCUUAAAACAAACUUUAUUUCUUUUUUUUGGAGACCUCAAAUCAGGUAGGACUACCCGCUGAACUUAAGCAUAUCAAUAAGCGGAGGA